CGGAACCAAAUUCAAAGACCUAUUCGCCUAGUUUAGAAAGAACAACGACAAAAUCUAGUCCAAAAUAACAAUUGACCAAAAACAGAAUGCAAAACAAAACCCGCGCCCGACCCAAUUUCAAGCAGAACCGAACACAACCACGAUUUCGGUGGACGUUGCCGGAAUCCGAUCGCACCACCCUCCUUCCCAGUUGGUUCCCCUUUAUGCUUUGCUCCCAAUCUUUCGAUCCCUCUUUCUAUUUUGAUCUCUCUCUCACUCGAAUCUCUGUUUCUCCGAGCUUUCUCAAUCUCCCUCCGUUUUCUCCUUUUCGAUUGUGUGUAUGCGAUGAAUUGUGAAGGGAAUCUGUGUUGUUGUUGUUAUCUGGGUGAGUCUCGAUGUUGGUGAUAGAGUGUCUAAUAGAAAAUGGUCGAUUCUCGAUAUGUGCCUGAAGCUGUGUGUAUAUAAGUUGUGUUAAUGGCGAGAGCUCUCUUCUCUCUCUUGAGUGUGUGCGUAUUCUUCUGUGUAUGUUAUCUGAUGGAUCUCCCCCUCUUUCUUUUGCCAGGGUUUCCGAUCAGGUGUGUGAUAUGUUCAGUGAGAGAAUAUAUAGAUGAGAGGAUGGAUUUUUUUUUUUGUGUGUGUGUGUGAAGAAGAUGAGUGAUGUCUAUGUACUAUGGGAAUUUCAGUGAGUGAAUUCUUGUUUUUGGAAAUGGAAAAGUGGUACUGUGUAUAUAGGAGAAAAAAUG
rnacentral:lncRNA from 1 species